CUAAGGCUCCAGAGGAAGCCACGGCUAACUCUGUGCCAGCAGCCGCGGUAAUACAGAGGCGGCAAGCGUUGUUCGGAAUUAUUGGGCGUAAAGAGCACGUAGGCGGCCUUGCAAGUCAGUUGUGAAAGCCUUCCGCUUAGCGGAAGAAUGCCAGCUGAUACUACAGGGCUUGAGUACGGGAGGGGAGAGCGGAACCUCUGGUGGAGCGGUGAAAUGCGUAGAUAUCAGAAGGAACGCCGGCGGCGAAAGCGACUCUCUGGCCCGAAACUGACGCUGAGUGUGCGAAAGCUAGGGGAGCAAACGGGAUUAGAUACCCCGGUAGUCCUAGCCGUAAA
rnacentral:rRNA from 1 species